rnacentral:sRNA from 1 species
GCAUAUCAAUAAGCGGAGGAAAAGAAACCAACAGGGAUUGCCUCAGUAACGGCGAGUGAAGCGGCAAGAGCUCAAAUUUGAAAUCUGGCUCCUUUGGGGUCCGAGUUGUAAUUUACAGAGGGUGCUUUGGCGUUGGCUGUGGUCUAAGUUCCUUGGAACAGGACGUCGCAGAGGGUGAGAAUCCCGUAUGUGGCCGCCAGCCUUCGCCGUGUAAAGCCCCUUCGAAGAGUCGAGUUGUUUGGGAAUGCAGCUCUAAUUGGGAGGUAAAUUUCUUCUAAAGCUAAAUACUGGCCAGAGACCGAUAGCGCACAAGUAGAGUGAUCGAAAGAUGAAAAGCACUUUGGAAAGAGAGUCAAAAAGCACGUGAAAUUGUUGAAAGGGAAGCGCUUGCAGCCAGACUUGCCUGUAGUUGCUCAUCCGGGCUCACGCCUGGUGCACUCUUCUACAGGCAGGCCAGCAUCAGCCCGGGCGGUCGCAUAAAUGUCUAUCAAAUGUACCUCUCUUCGGGGAGGACUUAUAGGGGUAGGCGGCAUACGACCAGCCUGGGCUGAGGUCCGCGCAUCUGCUAGGAUGCUGGCGUAAUGGCUGUAAGCGGCCCGUCUUGAAACACGGACCAAGGAGUCUAACAUCUAUGCGAGUGUUUGGGUGUCAAGCCCGAGCGCGAAAUGAAAGUGAACGGAGGUGGGAACCCCUCGGGGUGCACCAUCGACCGAUCCUGAUGUCUUCGGAUGGAUUUGAGUAUGAGCAUAGCUGUUGGGACCCGAAAGAUGGUGAACUAUGCCUGAAUAGGGUGAAGCCAGAGGAAACUCUGGUGGAGGCUCGCAGCGGUUCUGACGUGCAAAUCGAUCGUCAAAUUUGGGCAUAGGGGCGAAAGACUAAUCGAACCAUCUAGUAGCUGGGUUCU